GUGCUUGCUUCGGCAGCUCACACACGAAACUUGGAACGAUACAGAGAAGAUGAGCGUGGCCCCUGCGCAAGGAUGACACGCAAAUUCGUGACUCAGUCCAUAUUUUU